CUUGGGUCCGGCAUAACCCCGGGAAACUGGGGAUAAUUCCGGAUAACGCAUAUAUGCUGGAAUGCUUUAUGCGUCAAAUGGAUUCGUCUGCCCAAGGAUGGGUCUGCGGCCUAUCAGGUAGUAGUGGGUGUAAUGUACCUACUAGCCGACGACGGGUACGGGUUGUGAGAGCAAGAGCCCGGAGAUGGAUUCUGAGACAUGAAUCCAGGCCCUACGGGGCGCAGCAGGCGCGAAAACUUUACAAUGCGGGAAACCGUGAUAAGGGGACACCGAGUGCCAGCAUCAUAUGCUGGCUGUCCGGGUGUGUAAAAUACACCUGUUAGCAAGGGCCGGGCAAGACCGGUGCCAGCCGCCGCGGUAACACCGGCGGCCCGAGUGGUGAUCGUGAUUAUUGGGUCUAAAGGGUCCGUAGCCGGUUUGGUCAGUCCUCCGGGAAAUCUGACGGCUUAACCGUUAGGCUUUCGGAGGAUACUGCCAGGCUUGGAACCGGGAGAGGUAAGAGGUACUACAGGGGUAGGAGUGAAAUCUUGUAAUCCCUGUGGGACCACCUGUGGCGAAGGCGUCUUACCAGAACGGGUUCGACGGUGAGGGACGAAAGCUGGGGGCACGAACCGGAUUAGAUACCCGGGUAGUCCCAGCCGUAAACGAUGCUCGCUAGGUGUCAGGCAUGGCGCGACCGUGUCUGGUGCCGUAGGGAAGCCGUGAAGCGAGCCACCUGGGAAGUACGGCCGCAAGGCUGAAACUUAAAGGAAUUGGCGGGGGAGCACAACAACGGGUGGAGCCUGCGGUUUAAUUGGACUCAACGCCGGACAACUCACCGGGGGCGACAGCAAUAUGUAGGCCAAGCUGAAGACUUUGCCUGAAUCGCUGAGAGGAGGUGCAUGG
rnacentral:rRNA from 1 species